UGGAAAAAGAUAAUCAAACAG
rnacentral:piRNA from 1 species